rnacentral:rRNA from 1 species
CGUGAGGGAAAGUUGAAAAGAACUUUGAAGAGAGAGUUCAAGAGUACGUGAAACCGUUCAGGGGUAAACCUGAGAAACCCAAAAGAUCGAAUGGGGAGAUUCAUCGUCAGCUCAUUUUGUAUAUAUAUGAGUUAUGAUAUGGGUUACUACUUGUAGUAUUGCCUGUACAUUCUUGUAUAUUUUAUUGCAAUAUGUUGUCGGCGUGCACUUCUCCCCUAGUAGGACGUCGCGACCCGUUAAGUGUNGGUCUACGGCCCNAGUGGUAGCCUUUAAUUCUUGUAAUUAAAGACCCUUGGUGUUUCCUGGCUGGCUACUUGGCGGUAUUCGUACGGUAUUAAGCCGCANUUUAUGCGUUCAUAUCNGUCGCAAGCGCGGUCAAUUUUUGGUAGUACGGACCUAGUGCCGUCGCUAUAAUUGAUCAGCUGUUGGUUGUACGGUAUUCUAGAACUGGCUUAACAUNNNNAUACCGGUCUGCGAUGCUACUGCUUUGGGUACUUUCAGGACCCGUCUUGAAACACGGACCAAGGAGUCUAACAUGUACGCGAGUCAUUGGGAUUUUUUUAUAAAUUAAACCUAAAGGCGUAAUGAAAGUAAAGGUCGUUCUUGUAACGAUUGAGGGAGGAUGAGUUGURUUAAGAUACAGCUUCGCACUCCCGGGGCGUCUCAUUCUUAUUACAAGAAGAGGCGCACCUAGAGCGUACACGUUGGG